AUUUGAAAUCUGACCUUCGGGUCCGAGUUGUAAUUUGUAGAGGAUGCUUUUGGUGCAGUGCCUUCCGAGUUCCUUGGAACAGGACGCCUUAGAGGGUGAGAGCCCCGUACGGUUGGACACUAAGCCUCUGUAAAGCUCCUUCGACGAGUCGAGUAGUUUGGGAAUGCUGCUCUAAAUGGGAGGUAAAUUUCUUCUAAAGCUAAAUACCGGCCAGAGACCGAUAGCGCACAAGUAGAGUGAUCGAAAGAUGAAAAGUACUUUGAAAAGAGGGUUAAAUAGCACGUGAAAUUGUUGAAAGGGAAGCGUUUAUGACCAGACCUUUGCCUGGCGGAUCAUCCGGGGUUCUUCCCCGGUGCACUUCGCCUGGCUUAGGCCAGCAUCGAUUUCUGUAGGGGGAUAAAGGCCAUGGGAACGUAGCUCUCUUCGGGGAGUGUUAUAGCCUUAGGUGUAAUACCUUUACGGGGAUCGAGGUUCGCGCUUCUGCAAGGAUGCUGGCGUAAUGGUCAUCAACGACCCGUCUUGAAACACGGACCAAGGAGUCGAACAUUUAUGCGAGUGUUUGGGUGUUAAACCCUCACGCGGAAUGAAAGUGAACGGAGGUGAGAGCCCUUACGGGGUGCAUCAUCGACCGAUCCUGAUGUAUUCGGAUGGAUUUGAGUAAGAGCAUAACUGUUCGGACCCGAAAGAUGGUGAACUAUGCGUGGAUAGGGUGAAGCCAGAGGAAACUCU
rnacentral:rRNA from 1 species